AUCAUUAAUGCCAUCACAAUGCUCAUUGCUCACGAAGGAGACCAAAACAAAAUAUGAGAUAAAGAUCUCGAAGCACUGUUUCACGAUUUGAGAAGUUGGGUUCGAUCCAAAGCAGGUUUCGCGCUUUCACAACGCUCACUAGCCAACGCACGAUAACUAUGACAUUCGAGAAGAACAGAUAAACAAAAGCUCUCUGUUAUCCUGUGAAAAUUUCUAAGCAGUUUGUUGGGAAUUCUCACGAUAAAUGUGAAUCGUUCUACUGGGGUUUAAGGUAUAAGUUGAUUGCUUGAUUUUCUGACGUUUGCUCUGUGUCCUCUUUACAGGUAAAGUUCUGGUUGCUUU